AUUGAACGCUGGCGGCAUGCCUUACACAUGCAAGUCGAACGGUAACGGGCCUUCGGGUGCCGACGAGUGGCGAACGGGUGAGUAAUGUAUCGGAACGUACCUUUCAGUGGGGGAUAACGUAGCGAAAGUUACGCUAAUACCGCAUAUUCUGUGAGCAGGAAAGCAGGGGAUCGCAAGACCUUGCGCUGAUUGAGCGGCCGAUAUCAGAUUAGCUAGUUGGUGAGGUAAAGGCUCACCAAGGCGACGAUCUGUAGCGGGUCUGAGAGGAUGAUCCGCCACACUGGAACUGAGACACGGUCCAGACUCCUACGGGAGGCAGCAGUGGGGAAUUUUGGACAAUGGGGGCAACCCUGAUCCAGCCAUGCCGCGUGAGUGAAGAAGGCCUUCGGGUUGUAAAGCACUUUUGGUAAGGAUUAGGAAGGAAUGUACUUCCAGAAUAAGUACUCGGCUAACUACGUGCCAGCAGCCGCGGUAAUAGUACUCUAUCUAAGACUACG
rnacentral:rRNA from 1 species